AACUUUUAGCAAUGGAUCACUUGGCUCUCGCAUCGAUGAAGAACGCAGCGAAAUGCGAUAAGUAAUGUGAAUUUCAGAGUUCAGUGAAUCAUCGAAUCUUUGAACGCACCUUGCGCCCUUUGGCUAUUCUGAAGGGCAUGCCGGUUUGAGUAUCAUGAACACCUCUUGUCUCAUGGUCCGCCAUGAUGUGCUUGGGCUUUGGGGGUCUUGCCGGCCCAGUGUCGGCUCCUCUCAAAUGGAUCAGCUUGCCAGUGUUUGGUGGCGUCACAGGUGUGAUAACUAUCUACGCUUGUGGUUUUCUGCCAUAUAACCUUCAGUGAUGGAGGUUCUCUGGAGCUCACAGAUGUAUAUCCUUGGGGAGGACAGCUUUUGAACGUUUGAUCUCAAAUCAGGUAGGACUACCCGCUGAACUUAAGCAUAACAAUAAGCGGAGGCU
rnacentral:misc_RNA from 1 species